rnacentral:rRNA from 1 species
CGCACGGGUGAGUAACACGUAUCCAACCUGCCGUCUACUCUUGGACAGCCUUCUGAAAGGAAGAUUAAUACAAGAUGGCAUCAUGAGUCCGCAUGUUCACAUGAUUAAAGGUAUUCCGGUAGACGAUGGGGAUGCGUUCCAUUAGCUUGUUGGCGGGGUAACGGCCCACCAAGGCGACGAUGUCUAGGGGUUCUGAGAGGAAGGUCCCCCACACUGGUACUGAGACACGGACCAGACUCCUACGGGAGGCAGCAG